UGAGGUGUACAAGUGUGAUCAGGCUUCAGGCAGAUGAUCUAGUGAUUCCUUGCCAAAUCCACUCCAUGGAAGAAAGACAGACCUUGAGAGACCUGUUCUUAAGAAAAGACUUCCUGAAAAGGGAGAGCAAAAUCAACCUGAAAAGGGAAUUUGGUACACUCUUAUUCUGCUCAUUGUACACCAUCUAAAACUGCCAGAUGGAUCUGAAAUCACAGGCCUCUACCACUUGAGGUAUAGAAAGACCACUGUUGGCAACCCUUCUGUUCUUCCUGUGGUGAAGCCAGUCACCGGACAGAAAUAUGUGUGCACACAUGAAAGUUAAUGGAAAAUUUCCUAAUGAAACCCAUGAAAGCAGGAUUGGGCCCCAAAAUAGCCUUGGAACGUCCUUAAUAAUGUUGCUUAAUUACAAGCUGUAGUCUUUAUAUGAAGCAGAUACCUGGGAUUUCAAUGACCAGUGACAAUAUGGAAAAUCUGAAAGGGGAAUGUCAAGCCAUUAUUGAGGAGACAGAGACAUUGAAGUAAAACAUUCAAAAAUUGGCUAAUUUUUGUUGGACUGUAACUCAAAAACGGUUGGACAAAAUCUGUGUAUACUGUGUUUCCCUGUGCCUUCAAAUGAAAUGCAGAGAAGUCAGUUUUAAUGCUCCAUGGUUAAUUUGCUCUGUUACAGCUCUGUGAUGGGUGGCAACCCCCACAAGGGCUGACUAGGUAAAAAGGGCCACUUAACCUUGUGACAGGUUGCACCUAGAGGGGAGUCAGGGCUGAUAAGAAAGGGCUGAAGGGAGGAACUCUGCAGACACUCUAACAGACAAGGGGGAGCAAGCCCUGAGAUCCUGCCUUGGGAUACAGACUCUAGCAAGAACGGAGAGUGGUGAGACAGCCAUAAGGAGCACAGGAAGCUUUACUGGUAACCCAGAGGUAGGCCAGAAGAGAGGGACCCUAGGCAAAGAGCAACAAGGUCAGGGCUUGAGCAGACACUGGUUGCUGGGCAUAGGGAUGCUGGGCUAGAGCCUGAGUAGUGAGCGGGCCUGGGUUCUCCUAUCAGCCACUGGGGAAGUGGCACAGACUAGGCAGUGGAGCAGAAGAUGGCCUGAAACAGUUUGUCCAGUAGGAUUUUGAUACUAUCCUGGAAGGGAAGAACUGCAAUGACCUGACCGCAGGGCCAAGCCCUGAAGGAGCACCUUGAGUGAUGAAGACCUGACUCCAGAGAGAGGGCAAGAAACUGAAGGGGGCGGGUGUCAGACUGGUCAUGAGCUAAUCCUCAGCUGGGCCCCAAGGAGGUAUCAGGCCAGUCAGUAGUGAACCCUGUGAUUCACUCUU